GUAAUAGCUCACUGGUCGAGUCGGCCUGCGCGGAAGAUGUAACGGGGCUAAACCAUGCACCGAAGCUGCGGCAGCGACACUAUGUGUUGUUGGGUAGGGGAGCGUUCUGUAAGCCUGCGAAGGUGUACUGUGAGGUAUGCUGGAGGUAUCAGAAGUGCGAAUGCUGACAUAAGUAACGAUAAAGCGGGUGAAAAGCCCGCUCGCCGGAAGACCAAGGGUUCCUGUCCAACGUUAAUCGGGGCAGGGUGAGUCGACCCCUAAGGCGAGGCCGAAAGGCGUAGUCGAUGGGAAACAGGUUAAUAUUCCUGUACUUGGUGUUACUGCGAAGGGGGGACGGAGAAGGCUAUGUUGGCCGGGCGACGGUUGUCCCGGUUUAAGCGUGUAGGCUGGUUUUCCAGGCAAAUCCGGAAAAUCAAGGCUGAGGCGUGAUGACGAGGCACUACGGUGCUGAAGCAACAAAUGCCCUGCUUCCAGGAAAAGCCUCUAAGCAUCAGGUAACAUCAAAUCGUACCCCAAACCGACACAGGUGGUCAGGUAGAGAAUACCAAGGCGCUUGAGAGAACUCGGGUGAAGGAACUAGGCAAAAUGGUGCCGUAACUUCGGGAGAAGGCACGC
rnacentral:rRNA from 1 species